GGCCCGCCGAGGGGCGGCCCGAGCGCGGCCCCGCUCUGCUGCCGUCCGCCUGCCGGGCAGACGGCGGCGGCGCGGCGGGGCGCGAUGGCGGCCGGGCUGGGGCCGUGGCUGCUGGCCUUGGCCUUGGGGCCGGCAGGAGUGUGUGCACAGUGGAGACUGAAGGAAUCUGGCGGAGGUGUGCGAGCAGCUGGGGAGUCCGUGCAGCUCUCCUGCCAGGGAUCCGGCUUCAGCUUUGGAAGUUAUGCUGUACAGUGGUACCGUCAGGCACUCAGUGAUCAUCUCAAGUGGCUGUCCUUCAUCAGCACAGGCUCAGAUGUUCUAUCCAGCCCAGAGUUGGAGGGUCGAUCAUCAGUCUCUCGAGACAAUUCCAGAUCUGUGUCCUAUUUGUCUCUCCGUGCCCUGCGCCCACACGACUCAGCACGUUACUUCUGUGCGGUAGACACGAGAGCAGGAAAUCCUGCAGAGCUCUAACAAAAAUCCCUUUCCUGGACACGGUCAUGGUUGCAGAACCACAGUGCUGGCAGGAGCUGGAGCGGCUCUGGGCUGCUCCUGAACAGUGAGGUGAUGUCGCAGGUGACCCUGUUGUUUCUGCAAGGUCUCCUUUCACUUCAUCACUCCUUUCAUUCUCCUGAGUCACAAAAGGAGACAGAUACUGUGGGAGUGGCCCUGACAGCCCUGAGUAGGAGCGUGAGAGCUGCACUGCUGCUGCAAUUUGGCAGUAGCAAAACCAUCUGCAACUCGAGACGGGAUUGGGAAAGCAAAGGCACAUAUGGAACUGAAGCUGGAAUUAAUUCUAAAUACUGUAAGAAGGGAUUGUACUGGUGCCUAGGUCAGAAGAGUCAGGCCUAAGAGAUUGUACCUCCCCUGCUAAAUGAGAGUGGAGAACAGGCUAGAACAUAUAUAGGGAAGGCUGAGGCACUCAAUGAGUUCUUUGCCUCAGUCUUCACUGGCAGCCAGGAUUCUCCCACCCCUGAACCUCACAUCCCUACACCUGAUGCCAUCUGCAGGGUAUUUGAUCAACUGGAAAUUCUGGCGUUGAGAACCUAAUGAGAUUCAACAUAGCAAAGUGUGUGGUUUUCCGCUUGGGUCAAGCCAAACCCAAAUAUGUAUACAAGCUGGGAGAACUUGAGAGUAGCCCUGCUGGGAAUGACUUAGAGGUUCUUGUUGAUGAAAAACUGAAUAUGAGCCAGCUGUGCACACUCGCAGCCUGGAAGGCUGAUGGUAUCCUGAGUUCCAUCAGAAGAGGGGUGGCCAUCAGGGCAAGGUAGAUGAUUGUGCCCAUCUGUUCUGCCCUCCUGAGUCUCCAUCUGGAGUACUGUGUCCCAGCCUGGAGCCUCCAACACAGGAAGAUUGUGGAGGUUUUGGAGGGGGCUGAGACGCGCAAGAAAGGUGAUCCAAGGGCAGGAGGGACUGUGCUAUGAAAACAGACUGAAGGAACUCGUCUCACUCAGCCUGGAAAAGUGAGAAGACUGUGGGGAGACCUCAUUGCAGCCUUCCAGUAUUUCAGGGGAGUUAAUAAAUGUGAGGGAAAUCAACU